AUCUGCCUGGCUCCCUGGAUGCCAUCUAAGAACAGAAGGUCAAUAGUAUCUGUUUGGCUCUUUUUUAGAUGGCAUCAGUGGAUACAGGCAGGC
rnacentral:pre_miRNA from 1 species